rnacentral:rRNA from 1 species
AGAGUCUUUUGAGGGCUCAGGAUGAACGCUAGCUACAGGCUUAACACAUGCAAGUCGAGGGGCAGCGGGGGAGUAGCAAUACUCCCGCCGGCGACCGGCGGCACGGGGUGAGUAACACGUAUGAAACCUGCCCGUAGCAGGGGGAUAAGCGGAAGAAAUUCCGUCUAAUACCGCGUAACAACCCUUGGAGGCAUCUCCUCGGGUUUAAAGGAAGCGAUUCCGGCUACGGAUGGUCAUGCGUCGCAUUAGCUAGUUGGCGGGGUAACGGCCCACCAAGGCGACGAUGCGUAGGGGUUCUGAGAGGAAGGUCCCCCACACUGGUACUGAGACACGGACCAGACUCCUACGGGAGGCAGCAGUGAGGAAUAUUGGUCAAUGGCCGCAGGGCUGAACCAGCCAAGUCGCGUGAGGGAUGACGGUCCUAUGGAUUGUAAACCUCUUUUGUCAGGGAGCAAAGGGCGUCACGUGUGGCGUUUAGCGAGUACCUGAAGAAAAAGCAUCGGCUAACUCCGUGCCAGCAGCCGCGGUAAUACGGAGGAUGCGAGCGUUAUCCGGAUUUAUUGGGUUUAAAGGGUGCGCAGGCGGAAUGUCAAGUCAGCGGUAAAAUUUCGGGGCUCAACCCCGUCGUGCCGUUGAAACUGGCGUUCUUGAGUGAGCGAGAAGUAUGCGGAAUGCGUGGUGUAGCGGUGAAAUGCAUAGAUAUCACGCAGAACUCCGAUUGCGAAGGCAGCAUACCGGCGCUCAACUGACGCUCAUGCACGAAAGCGUGGGUAUCGAACAGGAUUAGAUACCCUGGUAGUCCACGCAGUAAACGAUGAAUACUACCUGUCCGGGCAGAAAUGAUGUCUGGGUGGUACAGCGAAAGCGUUAAGUAUUCCACCUGGGGAGUACGCCGGCAACGGUGAAACUCAAAGGAAUUGACGGGGGCCCGCACAAGCGGAGGAACAUGUGGUUUAAUUCGAUGAUACGCGAGGAACCUUACCCGGGCUCAAACGACGGAUGGAUGUUUCUGAAAGGAGGCAGUCCUACGGGACAUCCGUCGAGGUGCUGCAUGGUUGUCGUCAGCUCGUGCCGUGAGGUGUCGGCUUAAGUGCCAUAACGAGCGCAACCCCCAUCGCCAGUUACCAGCAAGUAAAGUUGGGGACUCUGGCGAGACUGCCGGCGCAAGCUGUGAGGAAGGCGGGGAUGACGUCAAAUCAGCACGGCCCUUACGUCCGGGGCGACACACGUGUUACAAUGGCAGGUACAGAGAGAUGCGAUGCGGCGACGCAGAGCGGAACUUCAAAGCCUGUCUCAGUUCGGAUGGGAGUCUGCAACCCGACUCCACGAAGCUGGAUUCGCUAGUAAUCGCGCAUCAGCCACGGCGCG